rnacentral:rRNA from 1 species
AUUGAACGCUGGCGGCAGGCUUUACACAUGCAAGUCGAACGGUAGCAGGAGAAAGCUUGCUUUCUUGCUGACGAGUGGCGGACGGGUGAGUCAUGCUUGGGAAUCUGGCUUAUGGAGGGGGAUAACUACGGGAAACUGUAGCUAAUACCGCGUAAUAUCGAAAGAUUAAAGUGUGGGACCUUCGGGCCACAUGCCAUAAGAUGAGCCCAAGUGGGAUUAGGUAGUUGGUGGGGUAAAGGCCUACCAAGCCGACGAUCUCUAGCUGGUCUGAGAGGAUGACCAGCCACACUGGAACUGAGACACGGUCCAGACUCCUACGGGAGGCAGCAGUGGGGAAUAUUGCGCAAUGGGGGGAACCCUGACGCAGCCAUGCCGCGUGAAUGAAGAAGGCCUUCGGGUUGUAAAGUUCUUUCGGUAUUGAGGAAGGGAUGUGUGCUAAUAGUGCACGUCAUUGACGUUAAAUACAGAAGAAGCACCGGCUAACUCCGUG